UCUUGGGGUUUUGUGCUAUUAGAACAGAGGGCUUCAGAGACAACAGAACCCUCUUGCUUAGCAACCCGCUCUCAAGGAUGGAGAAUCCUGCAUCAGAUAAGUGAGACCCAUCUCAGCAGUGAAGGCUGAAUCCCAUGCUGCUUCUUGUCUGCACAAGGAAUAACAUGAAUGCCAGAGUGACACUAAGAUUUGUCUGUGCUGUGCAGGAUGGGUUCUAGGGGGGAAACAACUGAACCACAUCCCCCCAAAUGACUUCAUGCAAAUAUCUCAGUGAAUACCAACAGAACUUUAGGUGCAGUAAGGGCAAACGCACUGGACUUGAAAUACUCUUAACCUGUGCAAAAGGAGAGGAAGCAGUUGCUCUGUUGGAAAUCAGGUUGGUAGGCGAAGGAGUCAAGAGAGUCAGCGGCCACAGCGUGAAGCCACUGAAACAAAUCCCCUAACCUCUUGCCCAAAUCCUGGUACCCAGUUUGAGCCAAUGGCAGGCACAUACCCAACACAUGCUUAUGGAGAGGACCACUCACGUAAGAAGUGAUGGGCAGAGGAGCCAUCAGUACUCCUCGUCCUGGUGCCCUGUGCUGCCCCUUGGUCAGGCAUGCUCCUUCAGUCUUCCCUUCAGAGCCACGGCUCUAGUCCCAUCCAUUUUCACAAGCAGGGAAUCCAAGCUUGAAAAAAAAAUGCUUUUCUUUUAAACGGUAAGCAGAAAGAAGAGCCGGCAGUGUCAGAACCCUGUGUGCAAAUAUUUUAUUAUGUUCCCUUCUGCAAAUGGACAUAGUCCGUCAAUAUCCGAGCGUCCGAGAAGAGCCAGUCAGAAUAGGAACUUGGGGUGGCGAUCCAUUAUGUCCCCGGUGAAUUAGGUUCACUGAGACUCUGUUAUUAACGCAGGAUUUCUCUUAAUUAUUAGCAGUUAAAAAUAGGAAAAUAGAUUUCAAGGGGUGGGGGAAGUCGCAGGCAGCCAGCGUCCAAUUCUGAAUGUGCGUAUUUGCGGAAAGUGGAAUUUGCCGAACAUGAAUAGGCACUUACAAUGUGACUAGAAUUGGUUCUGUCAUGUGUCAGCGUAAUAGCCUAAACCCUGGUUCAAUACAAUGAACCUGGGGAGGUUUGCUUAAUGAAAGAACUGACGUUUUCUGCGUGGUGGCUGCAUUCAUCAGCCGGCAUCCUGUUCAUUAUGGUACAAAGGGCUGCCAAUGGGAAUCGGUGGGAUCAUCUAUUAGGGAACCGUGAUGGGGACAAAAGAUAGCAGAGGCCAGGGCCCUGUGGUAUUGUCUACAGUGGUCAGGGUUACCCGAGUCCUGGGCUGUGGUCACAGGCAGUGUGUUUCUAAGCCAGCCUGAGGGCUUCCGUAGUCACAGGGGGGAAUCCCUUCUUUCCCCAUCCCAUCCUGGUCAUCACAUCCUGGGGCAGGCUGGGAGAACAGGAGUCUCCACUUACUCCUGGGUCGUUCCUUAUUUAGACGGUGUUGGUUCCCAGUUGUAAUGUAUCCUUGUGAGUCUGAAGCAGUUCCUGGGUCUGAAGGUGGGACUCUAAGCCAUUGGAUAACAUAGACGACAUGGUAUGAGUUAACUGGCAAGGUCACCUUGGGGAAGCCCUGGGUGGAGCGAAGAGCAGGUGUGCUAAUUCCAGGGGUGACUUAGGUCUGCGCUCUGCUUAUCCCCUAAUGAGACUCUUCAAUGGUGUUUUUUCCUGGAGAGAUCAGUGAUUAAGAAGAAAUUUGAAGAGGAGACAUAAAGUUUGUGUUUAAUUCUCCUGAAUGGAGCUGCAGAAGGAGGUGUCCUAGUAAGUUUGAAUGUAAGACAGCAGGCAGCUUCUCGUGAGCCAGGAUGUCCAGGUUUUGAGAUUUCCAUAAGAAGGGAAUUCAAAGGAAUGUAAAGAAGCUAGGUGUCUUGCCUGUUCGCUUGAACCCUAAAACCCAUGCUGGCUAAAUAAAAACAUGUCCCCCUGCCAGUCACCUUAUAUAAUUAUGAAGGAGUUUGAAUAGCUGUCUUAGUUAGGGUUUUACUGCUGUGAACAGACACCAUGACCAAGGCAACUCUUAUAAGGACAACAUUUAAUUGGGGCUGGCUUACAGGUUCAGAGGUUCAGUCCAUUAUCAUCAAGGCGGAAACACAGCAGCAUCCAGGCAGGCUUGGGGCAGGAGGAGCUGAGAGUUCUACAUCUUCAUCUGAAGGCUGCUAGAAGAAGACUGGCUUCCAGGCAGCUAAGAUGGGGGUCAUGAGCCCACGCCCACCGCGACACACCUACUCCAACGAGGCCACACCUUCUAAUGGUGCCACUCCCUGGGCCAAGCGUACACAAACCAUGAGAAUGGCCAGUAUUCAUGUCUUCUUAAACGUUAUCCAAGGCUAAAAGCCCAGUGUUCCUCUUCCUCCUCUCCUCUGCUCACCACCUUCAGUUCCACAACUGGCAGUUGCCUAUAGGCCUUCUGUUUUCACAAAUGGCAAGCAGUAGACUCUCUGUGACAAGGUCACUGCAGGUUCUGAAUCAAAAGAUGAUUGGAAAUGCGGAGGAUAGCGGCCAGCAGACAGGCAGUUGGCCUCACGGCACGGCGAGCAUGUAUGAAUCUGAGGACAAUCUCCGGUGUUGCCCCUCACCAACCAUCUUCAUCGAGAUGGGCUCGCUUUGUCCUUCACUGCAUAUGCCAGGGCCCUGGCUUCCGGAGCCUGGGGUGACGGGCAUGUGCCUAGCCCUGGUUUACUCAUGAGUUUUGAACUCAGGUCCUCAUGCUUAUGCAGCAAGUACUUUACCCAGUAAGCCACCGUCUUUCCAGCUCCGACAGAUGUCCGUCUUCUUCAAAUUUAAGGGUGAUGGGCUUUGUCAUGAUAUCCCCAAGUAGCCACAGGGGGACAUAGGAAUGAUCAACCAGCUGCUAGUCUUUUUGAAAGCUCCUUGUUUUGAAGGAUCUCCUGUGUAGCCCAAGAUAUCCUUGAAUUGAUGAGGUAGCCCAAGAUGACUUGGACUUCCUUCUUCUGCUCCUACCUCUAGAGUACAGGGUGCCAAGCAUGCUCUAUCCCAGCCUACUUGUUUGUUCUUCUAUUUUUAAAAAGAUUUAUUUAUUAUAUAUGAAUACACUGUAGCUAUCUUCAAACACACCAUUAGAGGGCAUCAAAUCUCAUUACAGAUGGUUGUGAGCCACCAUGUGGUUUCUAGGAUUUGAACUCAGGACCCCCGAAAGAGCAGUGAUCUUAACCACUGAGCUAUCUCUCCAGCCUUACUUGUUUGUUCUUAUACCAGGAGUCAGUGGUUUUCUCCCAGCUUCAAGAGCCCUCACCAUAGUGUCUUGGGUGGAUUGGGUCCUCAAAACUCAGGAUCAUUUACCUGACUCUUCCCAAGGUAAAUGCCUUCAACAAGGAGCUCUCUUUGGAACUUUACCAAGCUGUUUUUGAUAGAUCCAAGUAGAUAUCCUCAGACUCCAGAGAAAGACCAAACUUGACCCAAAUCUUCAUUUUUAGAGCUUAAAGGUGCUGAGGCCAGGGCUAAGUCACCUAGCUUGUCAAACCCCAGUUUGUUUGUCUAUAGAUAAGACAUUAGGUAACCAUGUCAACCCAUUUAGUCUAGAGAUGAUGUAUUAAGGAACCCGCCACUCCAUCAGGAGCAGAAAUUAGACAGGUUUACCAGUGGAAUCCUACAGAAUUUGUUGGCAAACGUGACUGGGUGUGCUCGAUGCAAAUGUUGGCAAACACGUGACCAGGUCUGCUUGAGGCAAAAUGAACUUAAUGAUCAUGCUAAUUUCACGGUUUGGUUAUCAACACAAAGCUUCUGUGUUAAAUGUAUAACAGAAAACUCAGCAUAGCAAGUUGUUGGUCAGGCCUCCCAGGGUAGACAGGGUGUAUAUUCAGCACAGCCCCUCUGCUAGAUGUCUGGUGGAACAUGCUCGCUCACAAACCCAUUCCUGGUGUUCUCUCUGCCCAGCACAGUUUUCGACAACUCUAUAAUCUGUGUGCAAAAUAAUGCCCAAGGUCAUUCUCAUAUUUAAUUAAAAAAUAAGGAACACAACCUUACAAGCUGCCAUUAAUAACAAUCGUAGUUGAUCACCGAAUAGUUCAGUUCUUCUUAUAAAAGCCCUUGCAUGUGCUUCUUCUGUUGUGCUUCACGGGGUGUUUGCCAACACAUUCUGUAGGAAUCCAUUGAUGCAGCUGUUGGAUUUCUGCUCCCGAUAGAUUGACAGGUUUCUUAUGACGUCACCUCUAGACCAACCAGGUUGACAUGAUUACCUAACGUCUUAUCCGAUGUCUUCUUGGGUACUUCAUUUUGGUGGAAGAGAACAGAGUGGAAGAGUGUUUUCAAUAAUACGUGAAGCCCGCCAAAGAGCAGACUCUGCAUGCUUCCAUGCCUUCGUCUUGUGGCUCUGAUGAGCUCACGUGAGCAUGCUUCCCAUUGCCUCACUGUGUCUCCUGCACUCCCGACACACCAAGUCUGUCUGUCUGCGCAUGCCCUGAGGCAUGAGGAAUGGCUCAGCUGGUUAGUGCUUGUGUGUUCUGCUUUGUGGUUAGUGCUUGUGUGUUCUGCUUUGUGUGCGCGCAUGCAUCUCCUCAUCCUGCAUAGGCUACUCCCUCUGCUCCCUCACCUUGCCCUUUGCCCUGGUCUUAUCCCAUGUUCUUUCUAAGCACACUAGCCAUUGGGACCACCCAGUUGGUUUCCUAUACCAGUACAUCCUCCCCUCUGUUUCCUCUGAUUCCUUUGGACCUUUGCUUAGUGCUUCAAGGUCAAGUUCUAAGAGGUAGCACAACACUAAGGAUUAAUGUUACAAUGUUCUAUCCCUUCCUCUAGCCAUCUGUUCAUCAUAUACUUUCUCUGACAGAUCUAGGGUAUAAGCUUACAUCAUUAUGUUCUUGCCCUGACCUAGGCACCAAAACCAUAAGAAUGCAUCAGCACUCGGUCAGUUAAAUAAGGCCCAUGAGUAAUGACAACAUCUUCACCAGGUACCGGCAAAAGGGAGCCAAAAAAGUCUUGGUGUAGAGAGGGGAAUGAAGAAAAUUUAUCCUGAGGAAAACCAUGCCCAAUAUGGGCCCCAGCUUUGAACUGGGUGUUUGGAGGUAGCCUGUCCUUUGAAGCUGAGUAGUGGGGAGAAACUGGAAGGAAUGCCUACCCGAGUAAAGAAACCUGCAUGGGCUGAGACCCAGAGUGUGUUUGGGUCUGACGAGACGCAUGUUAGUCCCUCAGAAGGUAACUCCAAUGAGUGAGUCAUCUAGGAAGAGCAACGUGUAGGAAGCUCUUCCUUCAAGUUAGACAUGAAGGGAUUUAACGAAGGCGCUUUGGUGCUUGCAAAACUGUUAGAAAAGCAGGAGGAGAUGUUUGAAGUUGGUGUCCAAUAAUGCAAACUUACCCUCCAGGGGUGUUCUCACUGAAGCUACAGUUGAGCAGAAGGGCAAUCCAAAGUUCUCUCUGAUUCUUGCGUUUCACCAGGAAGCUGAAAAUGGGUCCAGAACAGGAGGAGAGGAAGUUCCACUUACACAGAGGGAAAUCUCAGAAUGAGCAGGAUAUACCAUUCCCUCGAGGUUACUCCCCAGGCCUCACCUGCUAGCAUCUAGCCAUCAAGGAGACAGAUUUCUAUCUGGGAUCAUAGCCGCAAGGGAGUUGGAGGAGUAGGUUUUAGCUUUUUAACCUCUCCAUCUGGAAUCACAGAAGUCAGGGCUACCGUUGCGAUUUCACAGUGUUUGUAAUUGUUUUGUUUUGUUCGUUUCAUCAUAACUGAGGGUAGGAGGGGAUAACUACUGGACAGCCCCAACCAAGAAGGAAUCAUCUGGUUCUGAAUCCCAAAGUUUCAACCCUGAGCAAGAACUUAUUGGAAGAGAAAUGACUGAAGUGACCCCCACCCCAACCCCUACAUCCCAGUGCUUCCUGAGGUCUGUCUCACUCCUAUUCUAGAAUACAACUUCUAGGCACUUUACCUUAGUGCUUUCACUCUCCUACACCGGCAAUUUAGGGCUGACUUUUGACACGUGUGUGUGUGUGUGUGUGUGUGUGUGUGUGUAGCAGGGGCUUAUUGGUAAUGGAAAAUGAUUACUCUGUGUUCCUAGAUGUCCCCAGUAGCCCCCUCUUUGAUGUCACAGUAUUGAGCUUCCCCUUCUUCACCCCCCCCCAGUUCCCGCUUUAUCCUAGUGGAUGAUCCAACUCAAUAUGAUAUCGCUGUGAUCAAGCACCAAGCAGUGCAAGAGAAGAGAGAGCUUCAUUAUGUUUCGGGGGGAGCAGGAGUGGUUUGGGCCAUGGCAGCGGGACUGCGAUGCGUAACUUACACACAACUUGGCAGAUCAGGGAACAGCUUAGGGCAGGAAACACCUCUGGGCUAUAAUCCCAGUGACAUACAACCAUGCCACCCAUGGCUCUCACCCUCUUGGCUCCGUUGCCUUCCAAAACAUGGAGGGCACACUAGUUCAAACACUUGGAGGGGGUUUCAUAUACAAAGCACUAUAAGCUCUAACUAUCUGGAUCUUGAUGGGGUUUAAGCCAGGCUGGAAGGCUCGUGCUAAGAAGUCUGCUGGUCGUCAGGCCACGGCUGCAUUCCUGCAUGCUUCUCUGGAUGUCUUCCUCUUCCCCCGCUCCAUCAUUAGGUGGACCUCUGCCCAUUCCCACAGAGCUGCCAUUUCCACGUCCUGAGUGGCAGGCCUGGCUCACUGCUAGGGCUUUUGGGGUCUUGGUGUCUUUCCUUAAAGUCCAGGUCUCUGCCCUCGCUGGGGUAUGCUUUUUAAAACCUAGACCACACAUGUAAAGCACUUGACCUAGUGCCUGACUAAUAAAUAACUUCCCUGAUUAUUGUUGCUGUUAUUUAUAAUAUAAAUAAUAUGUAUAAUAUAGUAUAUUAUAAAUAUAAAUUUAAGAACGUACAGUCAAUGUUCAAUUGUUCUUGCUGAUAAGAGGAACAGGGCGGAGAAUGUAAAGGAGGGAGUACUUUGGGAGGCGGCUUUGCACACUAAACCGUCUUGAGAGAGACAAGCAGGCUCUAAGCUGGAGUUUCUUAAGGGUUGUUCCUUAUUCCUUUAAGGCUGCUCUGCUGGACUCAGAGGUAAACUGCAACAAGGGUAGAGACCUGUUUCUGACAGCCUACAGAGGGCUUCACUUGCUUUUCUUCAUGGUUAUGAGUCAGUUUCACUUCAAACUACAGUCUUGAUUAAAAGCCACCUCGUCUUCUGCUGUCAGUUACAAAACUUUGGAAUACGGGCAGAAUAGAAGAUGUGUUUAAAGGACAUUAUUCAAAUGUCAGGUCUAAUUAACUCCCCUCUCCAGAAGCAAGCUAAAUUUUUCAGAGAGCUCUCCCCCCCGUCCCUCUUUGAGGUAGUAAUUCCACCAUAAAAACCUCUCCAAACUCUUGUAAAUUAAGUAGGAAUAUUUAAUAUACAGUAUUAUAUAUAUAUCAAUGUAUUAUAUAUUAAUCUAAUAUAUAUAGCACUGGGGGCUGAAGGGCCUAUUUGUGGUGUACUCUAGAACAUCAAGUGCGAUAAUCAGAAAGUGUGUAUGUUCGAGACCACUCCAGGCAGUAAGCAUGUGGUGCCUCGCACUGGGGGUGGAAUGCGUGUCUGCAUGCAUUCCUUUUGCUCAGCAUCUGUGAUCACUUAGGGGUAUGUCCUCAUACUGACAGGGAACCAGUUAUUAGACCCAGGAUAGGCAGCAAUCCCAUGGUAAAGGAGGCCAUGGUGUCUAUACACUGGGCCUAAAUUGCCUGUAACUGGUUCAUUCCCAAUGGUAUAACCAGAUUUGUAUCUCUUGCAAGAGCAGCUGAAAAGAUACGUAAAUCAAAAUGACGGGAUGAAAUUUUAAAAGCAAGAAUGACCAGAAAGAUCCCCGGAAGACCAUGGUUGGGCCCGAGCCCCCCAUCCCGAGGUCCAACAUUUGUACUGAUUAUAGCCUGACAGCUCUUGAGUCUCCAAUGAUAACAGCCAUCUGACUUGAUCGGAGUUCAAUGGAUUUUCACUAAAAUAGAAUCAUCGCCCCGGUGAUGGAUAGAAAAAGUAAAACAAUACAUCCUGAUAAAUGCGCUGGCUGCCUCCUUCCUCUCCCCGGCGGUGACCUUGCACAAUCCAUAAGACAGCGAAGACAGAGCCCUGGCCAUUGCCUCGGCUUGUCAGGGCCUGGAAAUUGAAGCAGCUCUGAAAGCCAUCAAUGGGGUGAAGGGGGAAUGGCCCAAGAAAGCGAUGGAUCACGCUUAGAGGUCUCAGAGGGAAACAGGGUACACUGAAGGUCAGUGUGUAGAGCGUCCGGAGGGGAUGGCCAGGCUCUCAUCCACAUUCAUGGGAGGCGGUGGCCCUGUGGAGCGAGAUCAGAAGGAGAGUACAAUAAAGGGACAAUUUUCAGCGCAUGCAAUUUCUUCGCUGAAGCAAAAGACGCCAAAGAAUGGUACAGAAUCAUUGCUAACCCUCAAGCUUGUUGAUCCCUGCCCCGGGUCUCCCUCCAAAUGGCAAGGAGCAGGUAAAUAAGAAACCCCUUCCUCACUCUGAUGGGAUAUCCAUCUGCUAGCCUGGUUAUCGUAGCCACCUCUGGAUACCUCAAACAUUAUCGACCCCCCCCCCAAUCAGCAUACUACGAAAAGAGACCCACCUAAGGCAGGGUAUCCUGGAACUCAACCCCUUCCCUCUGUCACCAACGUGGGUUAGAAAGAAGCACUUCCUUCUGGAUGGUUGAAGGCCAAGAAGUUAGAUGUUGGCAGGCACUCCUCAGCGAGGGCUACAACUUGCGAAAAGAAAAUAUUAAAGUAAAAAUUAGAUCAUAAAUUUGGAGCCACAGUUACCCAGCCUAAAGUGCAAAUUGCCAAACAAGUCAGGAGACUCAUUAGCAUUUAUGUAAAUCAGUUAUUGCUGUUCUCCACUUCCUUAAUUAUCCAUGUUAUUUCAAUACGACCCUUUCUUUGAUGUCCCAAUUCUAUAUUUAAAUAGUGCAAGAUUUCUAUCGUAUCCUCCCGCAGAGGUUUGCGCCAUGCAAAAAACAUGCCAAGAGCAGCGCUUUCACAGACUAUGGGGAAAUGUUUAAUUGGUUCAUCCCAUCUGAGUUAUGAGGGCGUAUUACUAAGCACACAUAAAAUCAGAAACACGGACAGGACCUGCAAGAGGCCACUGCAAAUUCCGCCCCCCUCACCCCCAAGACUUGAUGGAGCUGAUUCAAAGGGAAGUCCGCCCCCCUGCCCCCACGCACACUUCACUGAAUCUGGCUAAACGAUUGAUUUAUAAUCGAAAUAUUUGGAAAUCAACGCCAACAGCCCUCUUCCUGUUGGCAACGAGAGCCAUCCCCCUGGCUGGGUGAAGAGUGCACGUGUGGCAGCGAGAGAGGAACGUAGGGUCAGGCAAGAGGGGAGAGAGGUGGUUCCCUGCCUAACGUGCGCCACUACAGAUUUGAAAAAUAAGGUUUUUUUUUUCCUUUUCCUGGAGUUUUCUAAAGUUGGGGGGAAAAAAAGCCCUUCACAAAUUACAGAUGUGAAUGGGCUUUCUCUAAUAAAUGUGCUUUUGAAAUGACAGCACAGCCACAGAGAACUUCACAGGCCCCUUACUCUUUCUGUGAAGCCGAGAGCUUCAACCCUCGUCACCUGCCUCUGGACAGACUCUGUGAAGAUGAAUUGCGACUGAAGAUAAAAGGAAAGAGGGGAAUCUCUUCUUUCUCUUUUUGAGCCAUUGCUGCAUCAAGUUUUUUGUUUUUUUUCCACCCCCAUCCCCACCCCAGGUCUCCUGGAAAUAGCAGGUCUGGUGUGAAGACAGUAUUUAGUUGAGGAGUUAGAGUGACAGACAGGCUCAAGUUCAAAGCCACACUCCCACUCCGCUGGUGGCCUUGUUUACGACUCCCAUGCUCAGCCUCCCUUUAGAAAACUGUGGUGAGCAGGGCUGUGCCCAGGAGUUGUCAUAAAGAUCUCUGCUGAUAAGUGCAUGCAGUUGGUCUGUAGUAGGUGCUUAAUAAAUGGUGACCUGAGCUGCUCUGCUCUGGGCACAGUGAAUGGAACUCCCUCUAAAAGCAAAGGGAACGGGUCCAGUUUGUGUGGAACAGAUUUCACAAUGAGGAAAUGGGAUCUGCAUAGGUAAGGGACUAACUCGAGGUCACACAGCAUGGAUGUACGAGCUAGAUGAUUUAAAUAUUUUUUAGAUUGUUGUAUGUGUCUAUGAAAUAUAAAAGUACAUUUAUAGGCAGGGGACUGUGUGGAGUCUGUUUUCCCCUUGACAUGGACUCAGAAGACUGACGCUUGCUCUCAAAAACCUCUGAGCCAUCUUGCCAGGCAGUCCUCAGAAUCAGAGUUUUAGUCCACACUGUCUCUAACUUGGAGCAGUACUUACUGACAAGGACCAUGUGGCAGUUAUAAAUGAAAAGAACGAGAAAAAAAGCGCAAGUUUCCACAUCCUUUAUCUACUUAAAUAAGGAGUGUUUACAGAAAGCUCACCCUCGCAAAGGGGCACGCUUUCAGAGUUGAUCUGAUUUAUUGGUUAUUGAUUUAACAAAUACUUUUCUGGACCAUGCCAAAUUCCAGGCCGUGUUCUAAAUACUUACAAGUAGUAACUCAUGCACCCCUGCCAUGUCUGUGUAUUUCUUAAGCCAGCAAGCAAGUUUGUAUGAAGUUUCCAAGAUGUCCAGGGGUAGGGCUGAUAAUCUUGAGAAGGUUUAGUAGAUGGGGGUAGAGGAGAGGGAGGGAGAAGGUUGGGGAGGAGGAGGAGGAGGAGGAGGAGGGAGUGAGUGGAUGCUGUAUGUGUGUUGAAUCGAGUUUGGGGGUUUGGGUAUUUUUUUAACAUCAUUUUCUGAUCAUACAUAUGGUUUUGCUCACUGUAAAAUUUAGAAGAGAGCUGGAGACUAAUUCCCAACUCUCAGUUAGCAGAAUGCUUCCUUGAAGUGCUUGAAAUCUUGGGUUCAGUCCCCAGCAACACAUAAAGCAGGUAUGUGGUAAUAAACACUUAAAAUCCCAUAACUCAAGAAGUGGAGGUGGGAAGACCGAAAGUUCAGGGUUAUCUGCAGCUACCUAGAGACCUUGGAGCAAGUCUUGGGUACAUGAGGCCACAUCCAAGAAAACGAAAGAAAGAAGGAAGAAAAAAUUAAAAUGUGAAAGAUAUAAAAAAUUGUAAAGAACUAACACAGAAGGCAAAACUUUUCUAGGGAGGUAGCUCGGUCUUUUGCAAGCUCUUGCUUAGACCCUCAGAACCCCUGUAAAAAGCCAGCCCAGGCUGUACCUUAUCCCAAUCCCAGACCUCCUGUAGGAAGCUGGAGAGGAAGGCAGGACAGUCUACUGAAGACAAGGACAGCCUGGUAGCCUGAGGACACACACCAUGGAAGCUGGAGAUCUUGUGGGGAACAGGGAACAAGGAGAUACAGAGCUUGUCCCCUGCGUGCGUGCGUGCGUGCGUGGGUGCGUGAGUACUUGCGUGCAUGGGUGCGUGAGUGCGUGCGUGGGUGUGUACGUGCAUGCGUACUCUAGUACAUUUUGGCCCACACUCACACACUGGACCCACACUCACACACACUGUGCUGGUGUAUGUACACGCCACCACGGUCCCUUAUCAAAGCUUUCAAAAUCCUAACACUGUCACCAUCCAUCUAAAAGGUUGCGGGAGAGAGAGUACAGCAUCUGUUUGUAAAAGGAAUUUUUCCACUUUCUUCACUCUGUUCCUUUAAAAGAUUUACUCUACAAGCACAACAGGGCCACUGGGUGUGGGGCGGGUCGAGGGGUGGGGGAGAUGGCCUCAGUUUCCUGAGGCCAGUGUUAUUUUUUUUUUUUAAAUCACACGUGCUGUCUUAAUUCCGUGUAAGCAUAAAGCUAGCAUGUUGCAUAGCUCCAAGUGGGGAAUUCCCCUGAACACUGGGAAGAAAAUUAAACCAAUGAAAGUUUUAAAAAAAUUAGCUCGCCACCAUCCCUCAAAGAAGAGAGUCUCAGACCCUUGUCUCUGUUACCAAGCUAACCCUGUCCCGCUUGGAAGCAUCCGUGGCUGUCUACUCUGCUCUUGGGUGUGCAUCGUGUCCGGGACUCCCUGCUGCAGAAAUCCAGUGGCUCCAGUGUGGAGCCCUCUCUGAGAAGGGUGGGCUCCAUCGCCGGGAAGGCACAUUGUUCGACUCUGAGAGCCCACAGUCUAAAAUCAUCAUCAUGCAUUUUCAUCAGGAUGAAAUAUCGGGCUCUCUGCUCAGCGCAAGGUUUUAUUAAUGAUGUGCUGUCAGGGCUGGACGUUCUGCAUAUUUGCAUAUUAAACAGCUGAGUGAAGAAACAUUCCUUUUAUUGCUGCAGGGAAUAAAUCAGUUUAAAGCAAGUUCUCAUCAUUUAUUCUCCUUUCGGCUAAGUCUUCUUUUAUUGAAAUAAAUUGUCGAAGUGCUUUGCCCAUUCUUCGAAUACUGAUGAAAUUUACCUUGAUAGGACCCGAGGAAAAAUAAUAUUUCCUUAAAGGUGCAGUAUUGUUCCACUUUUGCAUAUCACUUUAAUCCAUUAUUGAUAAGUUAAUUUAGAAAUAUCAAGCGAAAGAGGACGGGAAAACAGGCCUGAGCAAAGACUGUUUCCUCCGGAUGAUUUUGGCAAUCGCACCUUUAUUGGCAGAGCGCAAUUAAAUAAUAAAAAGCAGCAGGGGUUCUAGAGAGGGGCUCAGCGGCUGAGAACACUUAAUGUUCACACAGAAGAUCCCGGGUUCCGUGCCCAGCCCUCACAGCCACCUGUAACUGCAAUGCAGGAACACACAACCACACACACAUCGCGCACAUGCAGAUAAGCAGGCACAAGCACACACCUAAAUAAAACUAAAUAAAAUUUCGAGAAAAAGAAACAGACCUAUUUUAUUAAUGCCUCCGUACACUUUUACUAAGGAGCCGUGGGUUGUUUUUCUAUUAAAAUCUUAGUGUGUCUCACCCUCUUGCAGGGACCACCAAGCCCAGUAAUUUUCAAUUAUGCAUUAUGCCUGCCUCGGGUAAAGCUCACAGGUUCAUUGCAAAUGCUUUGAGUUCCUGUCUGUUCAUUACCUAUUCUUUUAAAAAAGAUUUAUUUCUAAUUAUGUGCUCCUGGCUCUGGGUUGGGAUUUAUCCCCAUGAAUGCAAAAGCCCACAGAGGCCAGAAGAGGGUAUUCGAUCCCCUGGAGCUGGAGUUAACAGUAGGUAUGAACUGCUGGAUAUGGGUAAAGAGAACUGAACCUGGGUCCCCUGCAAAACACAGCAAGUGCUUUUAGCCCCUGAGCCAUCUCUCCAGAGCCCUCACCCCCCUGCCUAUUUUUUAAUGGCUGAAAAGUCACUGUUCAGACCUUUUGAAAAGGAGAUCUAGCAGCUUCUGAGACGGCUUAGGAAAACGGGUACCAUGCCAACACGAGGGCCCGAGUUCAGACCUGACAUCCACGUCUAAAGCUGCCAGAAAUAGUAGUGUGCUCUUGUUCUCCUAGAACUGAAAGGAUGCUUGGGGUUCAGGCAGCCUUGUGGAAUUUGUGAGCUCCAGCCUAGGAAGAUCCUGACAUAGGCUCUGGUCUUCACGCGCACACUCGCACACGCGCACACGCACACACGCGCAGUGCGCCCUCUGUUAACGAUCUACAUCUGGGCUUUGGAAACUGUUGGUUGCCCAAUAGCAUUUUCAGACUAAGGACGAUUCUGCUGAUGCGCGGCCACCCUCCACACACUGCUCAGAGCAAGCCUGUCUUCAGUCAGGUUCUCCCUUCUCUCUGCUUUUCUGCUUCGCUUUUCCUCUGAGCCGCCUCUGUGCCUCGGGGAGAGACAGCUGUGCUCACAGGGGUGAACCUGUUUCUAGGAUCUCAGGAAGCCCAUUUGAUGGAGUCCGGGCUGUCACCAUGACAGCAGGACUCAGCUGUGUUCAGUCCAGAGAUGGAGUCAGAGAGGACCAAGUCCCAACUAACCCAGUGAGUCAAGGGUGGACGUGACCUCCCGGACCUGAGACUCUCAGGCUCCUUUUUGAUGAUGGUGAUUGAUGCAGUAGAGGGCAGAGAGUGGUUCAGCCCUACAAGGAGUUUAUGGUGAGGCCAGAAUACAAUAACAACACAGGACUUAUUUUUUAUUUUUUUUCCCAGUGUUCAUGAAGCAGCAAGAAGCCUCCAUAGAACUCAUUCCUGGCAGAAGCUGCUCAAAUCUAAGUGGAUAUGCAUACUUAAUAAGAGGAGAAUAAGAUCUUUAAUAGAGUCUUUCUGGCGGAAAGAGGUGUCCCAGCUCAGUUCCGUUAAGGGCAGUGGUUGGGACCGAGAAUCAGGGUCUGGGAUACACCUCAGGCCCCAGCUUCCUCAUCCCAAGCAAAGUAGUGGACCAGGGCCCCUGGAUAUGGAUGCAAAUGGAGGCAGCUUAUUUUAAAAGGGAAAGGGUAGGAGCUGGGGGAAAGACAGGCAGUCAGAGCCCGGAUCCACCGCACCUGCCUGCUUCCGCUCUCUCCUGUGUGUAUCCCGGAAGCUUUUUGCACCUGCUGUUUGUUACAUGUAGCAGACUGUGGCGAGUUUCCUUGCUUUGCCUGGCGAUUGGCUUCUUUCCUGUUACUCUUUGUUUCUUUUAAGGUGUUCAUUUUAUUUGAUGUGUAUGAGUGUUUUGCCUGCAUGUAUGUGAGUGUUCUGCAGGUAUCCCUGGUUCCCAAGGAUGCCAGAAGUGUGUGUCUUGAGUCCCCUGGACUUGGAGUUAUAGGUGGCUGUGAGCUACAAUGUGGGUGCUGAGAACUGAACCAGAGUCCUUUGCAAGAGUUGCACCUGCUCUUAACUACUGAGCUAUCUCUGCAGCCCGUCCCUCCCUCCCUCCCUCCCUUCCUCUCUCCUUCCCUCUCUCUCUCCUCUUCAUCUCCCUCUCCUACUAUUCUGCCUCAUCAAGAAUCAGUGUCCUUCACUUUGCUUAGGCAGAGUUCUGAGCUGUGGCUUCCCCAGGACCAUCUACCAACCCAUUAGCUGUGAAGUCUCUUAGCCCUGUGAAUCCUAGAAUCAGAGGAGACCUGGUGAACUGGGCCGUGUGAUACUGAACUCACGAAGUCAGCUCUAGUUUCAGUUGACUCCUAGGUAUAAAAUGACCUUUGCUUUACUUUCCUGGGAGGAAUGGGAAGUUAGACUAAAGAAAGGCAUAAGGACCUGGUCUUUCUAAUAGGUAGUGUAGCCAGGGGCCUGAGAGGGUGGGCACUAUUUACAUUUAAAUUAAGAUUUAAAUAAGGUUUGGUCUCAGCUAGUGACUAGAUACUUGGGGCCUGUUGGAUUUCUGUAGCACUUUAUACUGGACAGAAUAGGAGCUGGUUCGGUUUAGAUGCAUCGUUUCUUAAUUAAAUCACUUUCAUGGAUUAAGGAGGCACCUGGACAAUCAAACCAGAACCUUUCAAUCAGGACCUCUCCCUCAACCCCACCCACCCACCCAAACUCUGGUGGGUGCCACCAGCGUGUUCCUCUGUUUACAAUAAAGGAAGGAAGCUGAAUCAGGCAGUGAAAGGGUCUCUGCCUGGUGGAGUCUCCAUGGACAGACUGGGACUUGGGGACCCAGAAAGCCUGAUCUCAGAGGACUCUGCGUUGCAGGUGUUAAACCUGAUUAGCCAAGCUCACUCCGGUUAAUUGCCUGAAGUGGACAGGACAGUUUCCACUGCUCAGCACAAACCUUAGGGUGGCGAGUCAGCCAGUUCCGCCCUAGUGGCCUCAGCAGGCUGCCCUUUGAGAUGGAGCCUGUCCUCCGACUUGGUUUUGUAGGAGAGUCCUUUGGACAACUGGUCCAAACCAAAUGCGGGGGGCCCCAGCUUGCCACUUUGAAAGAAUGAGCCCCAAGAAAUUAGAAUAUUCCCAGGAAUCUCCUGCUUGGAAAAAAAAGUCUGAAAGCUUGGGGGCAGCCAGAGAAGAAACUUAGCACCAGGAAAAAACCAGUUGUCAGAUGACCUUGUCGCAGAGACUUGGAGCCGAACUCGUCUAGAGGUGAGGAGAGCCCAAACAUCUCUGCCACCCUCCCUGUGCCUGUAGAUAUUGGUAAAGGACCUUGUUUGGAAGCAUUUUGAUUUUUAUUCUGGGGACAAGGGGAGUCUUAUUUUUCUCUUCUCUCUCUGAUAUUCAUUGUAACGUGGUCCGCCUCCUGAGGUAUUGCCUAGAUAUACUGAAGACUCUUGGCAUCUCCUCCUCACGGAUUCUAGUCAGAGUUUCCGUUCUGACUUGAUGACCCAGGAGACAUGUUAAGGAUGUGUGAGGUCAUCUUGUCCGGCCACAGCCAAGACAGCUAGGAUUUUUCCCUAAAGGUGUGGUUGAGUAUGUGGCCAGUCUGCAUGUCAGAUGAUUCACUGGUAAGACCAGAGGACUUACUUGCUGGCUGUGUGAAUCUGAUCUUCAGAGUCCAGCAGGAGAAGAGAGGCUAUAGGAGCCAAGUCUGCCCAAAGUGAUUCCUCCCCUAGUGAUGUUCUUCCAACGGUCAUUCUUGCUAUAAAUCUUCCCACAGUGUAGGAGUUGAGUGUGCAUUGUAUCUCGACCUCAAGACUAUUUAUCCUAAAAUGUCACAAAAACCCACAAAUGAAAAUGAAUGCUGAGAACCAGCUCAGGCUACCAGUAGCGUGUGCACCCAGUGUCGGCCGUACGUUUAAAAAUCACACCCACGGGGCUUGGUUUUGCUUUAUAGGACGCUGAAUGGAAAAGCGCCUUGCUCCUGUGUGCCCGGAACAGAAUCCAUACCGUGCCUGCUCUGCUCUGACCUUGCCUUCAUUUUGCUCACUGGGAAAGGAGACCCUGUUUUCAGGAUCUGCUUCUUUUCUGACAGUAUUGGUCACCGUGAAGAAGCCCAAGGCCACUUCUGACUGAGCUAGAGAUUUCAAGGCAAGCUUCAGAGUGGGGGGAAAAAGAGUGAUGGAAAGAAAGGAUAGGAAGGGACAGGAGGACGAAGAAUAUGAGAGAUGGGAAUUGGAAUAGACAAAUAAAAUAAACAAAACAAAAGACAGAAGAUGGGGAAGAAAUCAGAUGGUGAGAAAGGAAAGGACAAUAGGUUUGGGAUGAGACAUUUACACUCUUACCAGGGAUGUGUCCCCCAAGUGUCACCUUCUAGAGCCUUCCUUUGCUAUCACUCACAUAUCAACAAUAUCAGCAGCAUCCCCUGAACCUUGUUUAGAAAUAUCACAUCCCUGGCCAAAGUCCAGAUGUCUUGAGUCACCAGGUAACAGAAGCAGGCUGGUGACUGGCGACUGGUGACUGGGAGCCAUGCAUGCUCAUGUGUAAGAGUCCUUACUGUUUGGUUUUGAGAGCAACUCACUCCAGUUUCUCUCAGGAUUGGUCCAGUAGUUUCGGGCUAUUUCUAUUUGUAGAGGAUGCUACAAAAACCAUUCUCUCCUGCCUCACCUGGUCUUUUCUCCUGUGAUCCUGUGCUCUGGAGGACAUACAAUGCUGUGUGCUAAUCCACAGAGCCCUUCUCUGAACAAGGGCCUGAGUCUGUGCCCACAUGCACACACAAGUGCGUGCUCACACACACAUGCACAUCUGUACAGCUCUAUAUCCCACUUUCCUCGUGCAUCCCCAGUUAGCACAUCAUGACCAACAAGAGACUAAGCAUCAUUAAGGAGUUUAUUUUCAUCUUCUAAAAUCUUCUAAAACACUUUUUCUUUUUGCCAGAUGGUGGUGCAGGGCUUUAAUCCCAGCACUCAGGAGGCAAAGGCAGGUGGCUCUCUAUGUAUUUGAGGCCCACCUGGACUACAGAGCUAGUUCCAGGGCAGCUAGGGCUACACAGAGAAAUCCUAACUCAAAAAACCAAUAAAUAUAUAAACAAAUAAAUAAACCAUACAUACAUACAUACAUACAUAGAACACAUUUUUCCCACGAGUUCCAACAGCAUAAAAGUUUAUGAGCUGCACAGCCAUACAAAUCAACAGUUAUAUUUUCAUCCCUUUUCCUUCAUUCUGUGGUCUUCACUUGGAGCGCCCAGGAAACCCAGGUCGCUUUAAGCAGAGCCUGGCCAUACACACCCACCAUGUUCUGGCUGGUUCCUACAGGGUGAUCACCAUUUAAAGUCAAAAUCCUGGCAGUCCAUCGAGUCACAUUUUGAAUUAAAGGGGUCUCGCUUAUCCAAAUGGAAGAAACUCAAAAGUCUAAAUGCCCUCCUUUGUUUUUAGCACGGGCUACGGUUGUCCAAGGGUUUGUUGUACUGGGCACUGGUAAAUAUUUAUCACGGUCAAAUGAACAAUCAUUUGCAGACAGAUACCAGUUUACGAUGCCGCUUCUUGGUCCGUCCUAAUUGUGCCUCUGCCUUGCCGUUUUAUGUUUUAUCGGAAUAUGCAGGCGUGUACUUUAUGAGGUUGGGUAAUGAAGAGCGAGGGACCCCAAUGAGCAUAUUUGCUAAGAGUAAUGGUUAUCUACAAUUCAGCCAUCCCGGGUUAGCAUCUCUCAUAUUACACAAUACCAGGCGAGCCCUUCAUAGCUCAAUUAGACCUUACCCACUUCAUUUUUAGGCAUUAUGUUAUUCUAAAUUAACACUAUAUUUCAUAUUCUCCAGGUCUGACGAUUAACCAGAUUUUGGAACCUUCAGGGUUUAUUAUUUAGUAAUCCCCGAAGCUCUCAAGCAGGCAUUUUUUAAAUUCCUGCGUUAGAAGAGAUUAAAAAUUAGCCGGAAUAGCCCGUUAAAUAGCCGGCUCUCUGUCCUUUGCUAAUUAUGCCUGGGGAAUGAAAAAAAGAAAACGCAAGCGAGGUCAGAUGGGGAUGGGCCAACAAACUUGCCACCUGCUCAUUGUCAGCUGAAAUUGGGGUUAUUUAAAUUAGGAAAUAAUUGUAAAAUCUCCAUAGAGUGCCACAGAGAGUACAAAUCAAGUACACAGCCCAGAGCGGGAGCUGUUCCCUUUCCCCUUUAUAUUUAAGUUUUAAAUAUGAAGGUAAGAUAAAAUGUAAAAUAUCAAAUGGAAAAUAGAAUUAUAAAGUUAAAAGUGGCCAUCCAUGCAAAUGUUUUUCAAGAUAGCGGCUAAAUUAGCCCUAGAGAGCAUACUUUAAACGUUAAAAAAAGGCAGUGUAUCAUUACUGUGUGUGUGUGUGUGUGUGUGUGUGUGUGUGUGUGUGUGUGUGUGUGUGUACUCAUGUCCGUGCUGAGUUCUGAGGAUCACAUCUGAGUUAGGCUCACAUAGCCUGGAAUUUACCCAAUGAACCGUCCUGCUGGCCCUAGGAAGCACUUAUAUAUCUUGUCUCAUCUGCAUCCUUGCUUCUUCAUCAGAUAUACGAAUAUUUUCCUUCCCAAAUAUCUCAGUGCAUAAAGAGCAUUUCAGAUGGUUUGUCUUAUCCCUUGCCAUUUUUCUUAAAUAGGGGUUCAAACAAACCUGGUUUUUUUCCAGUCUCCAAGUAUAAACUCACUUCUGUAUUUUUCAGUUGCAUAGAAAACAGUCAUAUUCAGAGACGAGCAGAGUUUGCUUUUAUUAUAUAUACAAUCCCGUCACGUGUGCUGGUGUGUGUGCUUUGUGCGCCAUGAGGCAGCCACUUACCUGCUUGAUGGUCUGUGGUACUCUCUGCACAUUCUCCUUUCUCUCUCCUUCCCUUUCAGGGACAUUCUUCCUUGGACAAAUACCUAGAGACAGUUUGUUGGUCAGAAUGUCGAGAAGUGGCAGACUAAGCCAGUGCUACUUGGCAUCCAGUGUGGGGAGGUUAGGGAGGCCGUCUUAUGUCCCAUAAUGCACAGGACGGACAUCCAUUCAGAUCCCACCGGUUGUGUAUAGUGACCCUAUUGAAAAGCUCUGUCACCACAGGAGCCACUGGCAUUUACCAAUCUCUGUCUGACAAGUGCCCUGCUGCCUAUUUGGUGUGAAUUUGAUUUUCUACUCCCUGCUCCUGACACCCCAGGCAGCCUAAACCUCUUGAGAAACCUUUGCUGCCAGGCCAGGAAUGGAGCUCAGUUGGUAAAGGUAAACCACUUGCCCCGUGUGGAGAAAGCGCUGGUUUGAUCAGAAGCACCGCAUAGAACUGGGCAUGGUGGGGCACAUCCAGAAUCCCAGCCCUCAGGAUCAAGGUCAUCCUUGGCUAUGUAGCCAGUUUGAAGCUAGUCUGUGCUACAUGAGACCCCAGGGAGGAGACAGACCAACAGACAGACAGAUGGACAGACAGACAGAUGGACAGACAGAGACAAAGAACACCCCCUUUGCCAAGUCCUAACAUAGCCUGUUGUACUCCUCACCCUUUCUUUCCCAGACAGACAGACCAUCCUUGACUGUCUUAGUCAAACACCCUUGAGUCUAAGCUAAUACUUGCUCCUGCCCCUUUGGCCAGUCUUUUUGUUGUUUUUGUUUGAGAGUACUUUCCUACAUAGCCUUUCCUGGCCUGGAAUUCAAAGAGAUCUACUGCCUUUAUCUGGAAUGAAAGGUAUGGGCCACCAUACCUCGCUUUACCAUCCAGGCUUAAUAAGUCUCCAUAAAUUGGAGUAAACAGAAACCCUUCUUGGCUCACCCAGGCAUACCUGUAACAAGAAUCUUGGAAAGUUUACUAUGAUGAAGUCCUUCCCCCUUGAUAUCCCCUCUCAGUGACCCUUAAACCCACUGCCUGCAGCACCCCCACCUCGGCUCUUUGUAACAAGCCCCUGUUCAGAGCUGUGCCCUGACUCUCUGCCCGGCUGAGGUAGUCCCUUCCCAGCAGGGGGCAACUGUCAGUCUGAGGUCAGAUGGACCACACCAUGGCAUUAACAUACAAAUAAAAUAACCUUGUUCAAUAAAAAUGUAGAUGCAUUCGGUAGAAACAGGAUAUAGACAUCAGAGUACUUGGAUCCAAACCCAAAAGGACUCUACUAGCUUGGUCUGUUGUCUCCCCUUCACCUCAGCAUUUUCCUGCCCGAGCCUGGCUGCGUGAAUGAAUAAACUUCUACCAUUCCAUUCCUGAAUUAUUUAGGCACUGCUAGUGAGUCUGAAUAUGCCUUACAGUAGGAUGUAUUGGGUAUGCGGACGCCUCCAGAGCACCCAUCAGCUUACCCAGGAUGCUUUGACGUUAUCUCUCAGCUGUACAUCAAUACCCAGGGAUUUUCAAAUGACCGAGAUGCCUUGAGCCUUUGUGUUCUGGCUUCCACAGACAACAUCCAAUUGUGAAGCCCAGUCCAGCCUGAUAGUCAACAUCAUUCCUUGACCACCUUUGAUGGUCCCUGCUGAGCUGACAAAGUGAUAUAUCUUCACUAAUGGGUUCUGACUUCAUAAAAAAGUAUUAAUGACUCUUUUUUGAAAGUGAGAGUGCUUUGAACACAAGUCUUUAUUACCUUGGAAGUUCAUAAAAGCAAGAGAGACAUGUUUCCCCUGAUGUUUGGACAGUGAAGGAAUAGCUGUGUGUCAGGGGCAGGUAAAUCCUGGUGUCUGUGGUCUGUGAUGCCAAACACACUGUCUCUCUGUCUCUGUCUCUUUCUCUGUGUGUUUCUCUCAGUCUCUGUCUCUAUGACUCUCUGUGUCUGCUUCUGUGAGUGUGUCUGCCUCUCUCUCUCUCUCUCUCUCUCUCUCUCUCUCUCUCUCUCUCUCUCUCAUCUCUGGAGAACACUGUUUCCCUGGAAGAGUCUUACAGAGGUUUUGUUUUGUUUUAUUUUUUCCUAACUAGUUUUAUCCCACAACAAGAUGAAAGGGGAAACCUUCUGAUGGCCCUGGAGAUGCUAGGUGGGUGCUCACUUGAUCUUUGUUGCAACCUUCUGGGAAAGAGCUGUGAUGGGUUCUUUAGUUAGGAAAGGAGACCCACGUGCCAAGAUGAAAGUGUGCUUGAACUGGACUUUCGCACACGUCUGAAGAUCCCUGUGUAGAGCCUUCUCUUUUGAGAAUCACAGAGAAUGGAGGAGAAAUGGGUUUCUAUCAUCAGAGGGGUUCUUAAUCCUUGAGAGAUUCUGAUUAAGAAAUCUCUGUCUAGGUGAUGGUUAAUACUGUCAGUUUGACAGGACCUAGAGUCAGGAAAGAGACAGGUCCCUGAGCAUGCCUUGAAGGGAAUUUCCAGAACUCCCUUCACUGAGGUUCAUUGAAGUGGGAGGAUCUAAACGUGGAUGGUGCCAACCCACGGGAUGGGUCCUGGACUGAAUACAAAGGAGAAAAAUGACCUGCACACCCACAUUCAUCUCUGCUUCCUGGCUGGUUGCGGCCUAUUGGGUCUCUUCUUCAAGGUCCUACACCAUUUGCCCACUCACUCUGGGACAUAUUUUCCAGUUGUGAGCCAAAAUGAACCUCCCUUCAGUUGCUUUUGUUAAACAUUUUAUCUCAACAAGAAGUAAUUAAUAUAGAGUGGAAGACACCAAGGUGUUCUAGGAAGUUUCCAGAGCCAGGAGAACCUUCCUAAUGUUACUUACCAUCAUCCCUGUGAAAUAAAGAGAACACUUGAAUCUCACGGUUCUUAAACCAUGGUAUUAGUCUUCCCAGCUCCCAAUGAGCACAGCUUUAAUCCCAACACUAGAGAGGCAGAGGCAGGAGGAUCUCUGUGAGUUAGAUCUACUUAAUGAGUUCCGGGACAUAGCGAGACUCCACCUUCAAAGCAAAACAAAACAGAGCAAAAUCUUCUGGAUUCCCUCUGCUUGAGGUCGGUAGAGUUAGAUUAAAGGAAACCCAUGCAUGUUGGUUUAAAGAGACAACCCUUUUUUUGUUUUAAGGAAUAAACCAUACAAGAGCAAAUGCAAAUAUCAUGUAACAGAAAGGCAUCCUUUUUCUGGCUUGUUCAAGAGGAAACAUGGGUCUUUCAACACCCCAUCUCCCACAGGGAUAUGAUUCUAGACUCAUCAUGAGGGAUUCGCCUGUGGGAGAGUUUGAAAACAUGGCCAUAUGAACAUCUCUGUCUUCAUUUUCAUUUGCUACCUAGAGCUUGUCAGCAACCUCCCAACAGCUCUUCUCCAGAGUUUCAGCACUUCUGCAUGGUGCGUUCUCUCUCUCUCUCUCUCUCUCUCUCUCUCUCUCUCUCUCUCUCUCUCUCUCUCUCACACACACACACACACACACACACACACACACAC